ACCUCAUAGUAUAGCAGUUUCGUCAUGAAACCAACUAUUAAAGACUCCAACGGUGAAAGAUGAGCAUGCGUCCCAUUAGCUAGAUGGUAAGGUAACGGCUUACCAUGGCUACGAUGGGUAGGGGUCCUGAGAGGGAGAUCCCCCCACACUGGUACUGAGACACGGACCAGACUCCUACGGGAGGCAGCAGUGAGGAAUAUUGGUCAAUGGACGCAAGUCUGAACCAGCCAUGCCGCGUGCAGGAUGACGGUCCUAUGGAUUGUAAACUGCUUUUGUACGAGAAGAAACAACAUUACGUGUAAUGUCUUGACGGUAUCGUAAGAAUAAGGAUCGGCUAACUCCGUG
rnacentral:rRNA from 1 species